CUCAUACUGGUCUCAUGAGCGAGAUGGGAUAGGGCGCGAAACACACCCUGCGCCGGUCCGAGAGGCAACCGAGGAUCAACGAGGAGUAAGAGGCAUCCUAUUGAAGAUUCACCAUGUUUGCCGCUGCCGAGUGUCACGAACGCAGCCUGGGUAGUCUGGAAAAUAUGAAGACAACUACGCUCCCUGCCAAAGAACAAAGGACGAGAGAAGGUUCGAGCUUCAGUCGGGAAUCAAAUUACUGCUGGCUAAUUAGCAUCGGUGAAACUGAAACGUAAUGGAUAAUAAAACCAAGAUUGGACUCACCAGGCAUGCCGGGAAGUGAUCGGCCGAAUCUGAUAGAUAUGUCUAUACUCUAGUGGGUAUAUAAAUUUUCAGGAGUCGCGGAGCCAAUAGCGGCUCGCGUCUCGUAAUUAAUCACGGUGUCGUAACGGAGCUCCCGUAUCGAAAAUCGUUUCGAGUCGUCCGAGCUACGUCAUGAAAUAUUUAAACCUCCAAUGCCGAGCGACUAGGAAGAUAGUCGUAAUGCUAUUUUCAGUACGCCCGCCCGCUCGCGGUAGCCGAGUGUUGACGUAUCGCGGAAA